rnacentral:tmRNA from 1 species
GGGGACGUUUUGGAUUCGACAGGGAUAGGUCGAGCUUGAGUUGCAAGCCGAGGCGACGGCUCGUAAAACGUCACUCAGUUAAUAAUAACUGGCAAACAAAACGAUUUCGCUGUAGCUGCGUAAGCAGUUCUACAGGAUCCUUCCUGCUAUCGCCCGUGUAGCAGAUAGAAGGGUCUCAAAUGAAGCGGGCUACGCUGAAAUCCACCGUCUGAGGAUUUCAGAAGAGACUAAUCAGACUAGCCACUCGGAAGCCUGUUAGUGGGCCGAAGAGCUGGCGAAUGACGAAUACGCUAACUAAGCUUGUAGAAGCUUGAGUGCCGAUAUCUCUGGACGCGGGUUCGAGUCCCGCCGUCUCCAUAC